rnacentral:ncRNA from 1 species
GACCCUAAAGAUGGUGAACUGCGCCUGAGCGGGGCGAAGCCAGAGGAAACUCUGGUGGAGGCCCGCAGAAUUACUGACGUGCAAAUCGUUCGUCUGACUUAGGUAUAGGGACGAAAGACUAAUCGAACUGUCUAGUAGUUGG